UACGUAGGGACCAAGCGUUGUUCGGAUUUACUGGGCGUAAAGGGCGCGUAGGCGGCGUGUUAAGUCAGCUGUGAAAUCUCCAAGCUUAACUUGGAACGGUCAGCUGAUACUGAUGUGCUAGAGUGCAGAAGGGGCAACCGGAAUUCUUGGUGUAGCGGUGAAAUGCGUAGAUAUCAAGAGGAACACCUGAGGUGAAGACGGGUUGCUGGGCUGACACUGACGCUGAGGAGCGAAAGUGUGGGGAGCGAACAGG
rnacentral:rRNA from 1 species